UACGUAGGGGGCAAGCGUUAUCCGGAUUUAUUGGGUUUAAAGGGUGCGUAGGCGGAGGUGCAAGUCAGUGGUCAAAUUGCGGGGCUCAACCCCAUCCAGCCGUUGAAACUGGGGAUCUAGAGUGUGCGAGAGGUAUGCGGAAUGCGUGGUGUAGCGGUGAAAUGCAUAGAUAUCACGCAGAACCCCGAUUGCGAAGGCAGCAUACCGGUGCACAACUGACGCUCAGGCACGAAAGCGUGGGUAUCGAACAGG
rnacentral:rRNA from 1 species